UACGUAGGUGGCGAGCGUUGUCCGGAUUUACUGGGCGUAAAGAGCGCGCAGGCGGUCGUUCAAGUCGCGUGUGAAAGCCCCCGGCUCAACUGGGGAGGGUCACGCGAUACUGAUCGACUCGAAGGCAGGAGAGGGUAGUGGAAUUCCCGGUGUAGUGGUGAAAUGCGCAGAUAUCAGGAGGAACACCGGUGGCGAAGGCGGGUCUCUGGGCCGAUACUGACGCUGAGGAGCGAAAGCGUGGGGAGCGAACAGG
rnacentral:rRNA from 1 species